GGCUUCGUAGCUCAAUGGAAUCAGAGCGCAGGUCUUCUAAACCUGAUGUUGCGAGUUCGAGUCUCGCCGGAGCCA
rnacentral:tRNA from 1 species